CCUACGUGAGGCAGCAGUGAGGAAUAUUGGUCAAUGGGCGCGAGCCUGAACCAGCCAAGUAGCGUGAAGGAUGACUGCCCUACGGGUUGUAAACUUCUUUUAUAAAGGAAUAAAGUGAGGCACGUGUGCCUUUUUGUAUGUACUUUAUGAAUAAGGAUCGGCUAACUCCGUGCCAGCAGCCGCGGUAAUACGGAGGAUCCGAGCGUUAUCCGGAUUUAUUGGGUUUAAAGGGAGCGUAGAUGGGUUGUUAAGUCCGUUGUGAAAGUUUGCGGCUCAACCGUAAAAUUGCAAUUGAUACUGGCAGUCUUGAGUACAGUUGAGGUAGGCGGAAUUCGUGGUGUAGCGGUGAAAUGCUUAGAUAUCACGAAGAACUCCGAUUGCGAAGGCAGCUUACUAAACUGCCACUGACAUUGAUGCUCGAAAGUGUGGGUAUCAAACAGGAUUAGAUACCCCAGUAGUC
rnacentral:rRNA from 1 species